GAGAACAUUAUCUGCAUAUGCCAAAAAAUUUUAAGCAAAUGAAAGCUACCAAUUUAAAGUUACGGAAUCUACCAUUUUAAAGUUAAUUGCUUGUCAAGCUAUAACCACAAAAAUAAUGAAUUGAUGAGAAAUACAAUGAAGAGGCAAUGUCCAUCUCAAAAUACUGCUUUUACAAAAGCAGAAUAAAAGCGAAAAGAAAUGAAAAUGUUACACUACAUUAAUCCUGGAAUAAAAGAAGCCGAAAUAAAUGAGAGAUGAGUUGGGAUCAAGUGGAUUGAGGAGGCUGUGCUGUGUGCCAAUGUUUCGUUUGCCUCAGACAGGUAUCUCUUCGUUAUCAGAAGAGUUGCUUCAUUUCAUCUGGGAGCAGAAAACAGCAGGCAGCUGUUAACAGAUAAGUUUAACUUGCAUCUGCAGUAUUGCAUGUUAGGGAUAAGUGCUUAUUUUUAAGAGCUGUGGAGUUCUUAAAUAUCAACCAUGGCACUUUCUCCUGACCCCUUCCCUAGGGGAUUUCAGGAUUGAGAAAUUUUUCCAUCGAGCCUUUUUAAAAUUGUAGGACUUGUUCCUGUGGGCUUCAGUGAUGGGAUAGUACACUUCACUCAGAGGCAUUUGCAUCUUUAAAUAAUUUCUUAAAAGCCUCUAAAGUGAUCAGUGCCUUGAUGCCAACUAAGGAAAUUUGUUUAGCAUUGAAUCUCUGAAGGCUCUAUGAAAGGAAUAGCAUGAUGUGCUGUUAGAAUCAGAUGUUACUGCUAAAAUUUACAUGUUGUGAUGUAAAUUGUGUAGAAAACCAUUAAAUCAUUCAAAAUAAUAAACUAUUUUUAUUAGAGAAUGUAUACUUUUAGAAAGCUGUCUCCUUAUUUAAAUAAAAUAGUGUUUGUCUGUAGUUCAGUGUUGGGGCAAUCUUGGGGGGGAUUCUUCUCUAAUCUUUCAGAAACUUUGUCUGCGAACACUCUUUAAUGGACCAGAUCAGGAUUUGAGCGGAAGAACGAAUGUAACUUUAAGGCAGGAAAGACAAAUUUUAUUCUUCAUAAAGUGAUGAGCAUAUAAUAAUUCCAGGCACAUGGCAAUAGAGGCCCUCUAAAUAAGGAAUAAAUAACCUCUUAGACAGGUGGGAGAUUAUGAUCAGAGUAAAAGGUAAUUACACAUUUUAUUUCCAGAAAGUCAGGGGUCUAUAAAUUGACAGUGAUUAGAGUAAUACUUUUUCACAUUUCCAAAGUUUGCAUGUUAACUUUAAAUGCUUACAAUCUUAGAGUGGUAGGCAAUGUUUUACACUAUUGACCUUAUAUAGGGAAGGGAGGGGGUGCCUGUGGGGUUUUAAAGAAUUUUCCUUUGCAGAGGCAUUUCAUCCUUCAUGAAGCCAUUCAGGAUUUUGAAUUGCAUAUGAGUGCUUGGCUCUUCCUUCUGUUCUAGUGAGUGUAUGAGACCUUGCAGUGAGUUUAUCAGCAUACUCAAAAUUUUUUUCCUGGAAUUUGGAGGGAUGGGAGGAGGGGGUGGGGCUUACUUGUUGUAGCUUUUUUUUUUUUUACAGACUUCACAGAGAAUGCAGUUGUCUUGACUUCAGGUCUGUCUGUUCUGUUGGCAAGUAAAUGCAGUACUGUUCUGAUCCCGCUGCUAUUAGAAUGCAUUGUGAAACGACUGGAGUAUGAUUAAAAGUUGUGUUCCCCAAUGCUUGGAGUAGUGAUUGUUGAAGGAAAAAAUCCAGCUGAGUGAUAAAGGCUGAGUGUUGAGGAAAUUUCUGCAGUUUUAAGCAGUCGUAUUUGUGAUUGAAGCUGAGUACAUUUUGCUGGUGUAUUUUUAGGUAAAAUGCUUUUUGUUCAUUUCUGGUGGUGGGAGGGGACUGAAGCCUUUAGUCUUUUCCAGAUGCAACCUUAAAAUCAGUGACAAGAAACAUUCCAAACAAGCAACAGUCUUCAAGAAAUUAAACUGGCAAGUGGAAAUGUUUAAACAGUUCAGUGAUCUUUAGUGCAUUGUUUAUGUGUGGGUUUCUCUCUCCCCUCCCUUGGUCUUAAUUCUUACAUGCAGGAACACUCAGCAGACACACGUAUGCGAAGGGCCAGAGAAGCCAGACCCAGUAAGAAAAAAUAGCCUAUUUACUUUAAAUAAACCAAACAUUCCAUUUUAAAUGUGGGGAUUGGGAACCACUAGUUCUUUCAGAUGGUAUUCUUCAGACUAUAGAAGGAGCUUCCAGUUGAAUUCACCAGUGGACAAAAUGAGGAAAACAGGUACCCCUCACUAAAGGCACCGAAGGCUUAAAGUAGGACAACCAUGGAGCCUUCCUGUGGCAGGAGAGACAACAAAGCGCUAUUAUCCUAAGGUCAAGAGAAGUGUCAGCCUCACCUGAUUUUUAUUAGUAAUGAGGACUUGCCUCAACUCCCUCUUUCUGGAGUGAAGCAUCCGAAGGAAUGCUUGAAGUACCCCUGGGCUUCUCUUAACAUUUAAGCAAGCUGUUUUUAUAGCAGCUCUUAAUAAUAAAGCCCAA
rnacentral:lncRNA from 1 species